UCACUGUCUCGGGCUUUGAAAGUGU
rnacentral:misc_RNA from 1 species